rnacentral:rRNA from 1 species
AGUUUGAUCCUGGCUCAGGAUGAACGCUGGCGGCGUGCCUAAUACAUGCAAGUCGAGCGAAUGGAUUGAGAGCUUGCUCUCAAGAAGUUAGCGGCGGACGGGUGAGUAACACGUGGGUAACCUGCCCAUAAGACUGGGAUAACCCCGGGAAACCGGGGCUAAUACCGGAUAAUAUUUUGAACUGCAUGGUUCGAAAUUGAAAGGCGGCUUCGGCUGUCACUUAUGGAUGGACCCGCGUCGCAUUAGCUAGUUGGUGAGGUAACGGCUCACCAAGGCAACGAUGCGUAGCCGACCUGAGAGGGUGAUCGGCCACACUGGGACUGAGACACGGCCCAGACUCCUACGGGAGGCAGCAGUAGGGAAUCUUCCGCAAUGGACGAAAGUCUGACGGAGCAACGCCGCGUGAGUGAUGAAGGCUUUCGGGUCGUAAAACUCUGUUGUUAGGGAAGAACAAGUGCUAGUUGAAUAAGCUGGCACCUUGACGGUACCUAACCAGAAAGCCACGGCUAACUACGUG